UACGCCCAUAUCCCGUUGAAACGCCGGUCGUCGUACGUUCACCCAAGUUAAGCAACGUCGAGUCUGGUCAGUAUCUAGAUGGGUGACUGCUCGGGAAUACCAGGUGUUGUAAG